GAGGGAUAUUGGUCAAUGGGCGCAAGCCUGAACCAGCGACGCCGCGUGGGUGAUGAAGGUCUUCGGAUCGUAAAACCCUUUUCUAGGUGACGAGACAAGGACGGUAGCCUAGGAAGAAGUCUCGGCUAACUACGUGCCAGCAGCCGCGGUAAAACGUAGGAGGCAAGCGUUAUCCGGAGUUACUGGGCGUAAAGCGCAUGUAGGCGGUUGGGCAAGUGGCGUGUGAAAGCUCCCGGCUAAACUGGGAGACGACAGGUCAGACUGCCGAACUGGAGUCCGAUAGAGGAGCGUAGAAUUCCGGGUGUAGCGGUGAAAUGUGUAGAGAUCCGGAGGAAUACCAGUGGCGCAAGCGGCGCUCUGGGCCGAGACUGACGCUGAGGAGCGAAAGCGUGGGUAGCAAA
rnacentral:rRNA from 1 species